GGGGAUUUGGCUCAGUGGUAGAGUGCUUGCCUAGGAAGCGCAAGGUCCUGGGUUCGAUCCCCAGUCCCG
rnacentral:tRNA from 1 species